CCUACGGGAGGCAGCAGUCGAGAAUCAUUCACAAUGGGGGAAACCCUGAUGGUGCGACGCCGCGUGGGGGAAUGAAGGUCUUCGGAUUGUAAACCCCUGUCAUGUGGGAGCAAAUUAAAAAGACAGUACCACAAGAGGCAGAGACGGCUAACGCUGUGCCAGCAGCCGCGGUAAUACAGAGGUCUCAAGCGUUGUUCGGAAUGACUGGGUGUAAAGUGUGCGGAGGCGGUUGCGUAAGUCGUGUGUGAAAGGCGCGGGCUCAACCCGCGGACGGCACAUGAUAAUGCGAGACUAGAGUAAAGGAGAGGGAACCGGAAUUCUCGGUGUAGCAGUGAAAUGCGUAGAUA
rnacentral:rRNA from 1 species